rnacentral:sRNA from 1 species
AAAAAAAGAAGAAGAUAAAGAGGUAUUU